UUGUUAGUUGCCAUCAUUCAGUUUGGGCACUCUAGCGAGACUGCCGGCUAAAAGUCGGAGGAAGGUGGGGAUGACGUCAAAUCAUCAUGCCCCUUAUGACCUGGGCUACACACGUGCUACAAUGGGCGGUACAAAGGGUCGCGAACCCGCGAGGGGAGCCAAUCCCAAAAAGCCGCUCUCAGUUCGGAUUGCAGGCUGCAACUCGCCUGCAUGAAGCCGGAAUCGCUAGUAAUCGCGGAUCAGCAUGCCGCGGUGAAUACGUUCCCGGGCCUU
rnacentral:rRNA from 1 species